AGAGACCUCGAGCGUUAUCCGGAAUCAUUGGGCGUAAAGCGUACCGAUAGGUGGUCUAAAAAGUCAAAAGUGAAAUCCCAAGGCUCAACUUUGGGACUGUCUUUUGAAACUUUUAGACUUGAGGGGCAAAGAGGAAGCUGGAACGAACGGUGUAGUAGUGAAAUGCGUUGAUAUCGUUCGGAACACCAAUAGCGAAGGCAGGCUUCUGGGUGCCACCUGACACUGCUAGGACGAAAGCGUGGGGAGCGAAUGGGAUUAGAUACCCCAGUAGUCCACGCUGUAAACGAUGUACAUUAGGUGCUAGGGAGUAUCGACCCUCUUUAGUGCCAUAGCUAACGCGUUAAAUGUACCGCCUGGGGAGUACGGCCGCAAGGCUA
rnacentral:rRNA from 1 species